AACACCGUUAGCUCAGCAAACAACAGACAAACAUUAAAAUACUGUAUCCAGUACAGGUUACAACUACAAAAAAACCCCAAAACCAAC